ensembl:misc_RNA Metazoa_SRP Metazoan signal recognition particle RNA
CCUGGGCGUGGUGGCGCAUGCCUGUAGUUACAGCUACUGGGGAGGCUGAGGUGGAAGGAUCGUUUGAGCCUAGGAGUUGUGGGCUCUAGUGCACUAUGCUGAUUGGGUGGCCGCACUAAGUUUGGCAUCAAUGUGGUGACCUCCUGGGAGUGGGGCACCACCAGGUUGCCUAAGGAGGGGUGAACAGGCCCAGGUCGAAAAUGGAGCAGGUCAGAAUUCCUAUGCUGAUCAGUAGUGGGAUCGCACCUGUGAAUAGCCACUGCAUUCCAGCCUGGGCAACAUAGUGAGACUUCGUCUCAA